GAGACAGUAGCGCAAGCGGCUGUGGAGUGUAUAGAAGUGAGAAUGCCGGAAUGAGUAGCGCGAAUGCAGUGAGAAUCUGCAUGGCCGAAAGCCUCAGGUUUCUGGAGGAAGGUUCGUCCGCUCCAGGUUAGUCGGGAGCUAAGGUGAGGCCUAACGGCGUAGCCGAUGCACAGACGGUAGAGAUUCCGUCACCACCAAAAGAGUUAAACACAGGGACACAUAUGAAGUCUCGGAGCCGGGUGUUGGUUCCGGUAGCGAUCGAGGGAAGUUAGUACCGAAGUCUGAGAUGGAAGAUGGCGAGAAAAGCUGUGUGUAUUUCUGCGGUGCCCGUACCGCAAACCGACACAGGUAGGUAGGAAGAAGAUUCUAAGGCCAACGGGAGAAGGGUUGUUAAGGAACUCGGCAAAUUGACCCCGUAACUUCGGGAGAAGGGGUGCUGCAGAGAUGCAGCCGCAGAGAAUCGGCCCAAGCAACUAUUUACCAAAAACACAGGUUUGUGCUAAAUCGAAAGAUGACGUAUACGAGCUGACGCCUGCCCGGUGCUGGAAGGUUAAGAGGAGAUGUGCAAGCAUUGAAUCGAAGCCCCAGUGAACGGCGGCCGUAACUAUAACGGUCCUAAGGUAGCGAAAUUCCUUGUCAGGUAAGUUCUGACCCGCAUGAAAGGCGUAAUGAUUUGGGCACUGUCUCAACAGCCCGCCCGGCGAAAUUGUAGUACCGGUGAAGAUGCCGGUUACCCGCGACAAGACGGAAAGACCCCAUGGAGCUUUACUGUAGCCUAAUAUUGGGUUUCGAUGUUGCAUGCACAGGAUAGAUGGGACUCUGGGAAACCGAUGCUUUGGCGUCGGCGGAGAGGCCGUUGGGAUACCAUCCUUGCGAUAUUGGAAUUCUAACCUGCGCCUUUGAAUCAAGGCGGGGGACAUUGUUAGGUGGGCAGUUUGACUGGGGCGGUCGCCUCCUAAAGAGUAACGGAGGCGUUCAAAGGUUCGCUCAGCUUGAACGGAAAUCAAGCAAAAGAGUGCAAACGCAGAAGCGAGCCUAACUGCGAGACUGACGGGUCGAGCAGUAACGAAAGUUGGAGUUAGUGAUCCGGUGGUAUGUGAGUGGAAGUGCCAUCGCUCAACGGAUAAAAGUUACCCUGGGGAUAACAGGCUGAUCUCCCCCAAGAGUCCACAUCGACGGGGAGGUUUGGCACCUCGAUGUCGGUUCAUCGCAUCCUGGGGCUGUAUUCGGUCCCAAGGGUUUGGCUGUUCGCCAAUUAAAGCGGUACGCGAGCUGGGUUCAGAACGUCGUGAGACAGUUCGGUCCCUAUCUGUCGUGGGCGCAGGAUAUUUGAUGGGAGCUGUUCCUAGUACGAGAGGACCGGAGCGGACGUACCUCUGGCGCACCAGUUGUUCUGCCAAGGGCAUAGCUGGGCAACUAUGUACGGAUCGGAUAAACGCUGAAAGCAUCUAAGCGUGAAGCCGACCCAAAGAUAAGAUAUCCCAUUGUUUCAAACAAGUAAGACCCCUUGAAGACUACAAGGUUGAUAGGCACGAUGUGUAAGUGGAGUGAUCCAUUCAGCAAGCGUGUACUAAUAGGUCGAGGGCUUGACC
rnacentral:rRNA from 1 species